rnacentral:rRNA from 1 species
CAGCUUGCUGCUUCGCUGACGAGUGGCGGACGGGUGAGUAAUGUCUGGGAAACUGCCUGGAUGGAGGGGGAUAACUACUGGAAACGGUAGCUAAUACCGCAUAACGUCGCAAGACCAAAGAGGGGGACCUUCGGGCCUCUCACUAUCGGAUGAACCCAGAUGGGAUUAGCUAGUAGGCGGGGUAAUGGCCCACCUAGGCGACGAUCCCUAGCUGGUCUGAGAGGAUGACCAGCCACACUGGAGCUGAGACACGGUCCAGACCCC